UCUGCCUAUAGAGGCCUGGGGUCCCUUUGGCAGCACUUUUCUCAAGAAAGUAGAGUCGUGGACAACCAACUGCACAGGUUGGGAGGCUUUGAAGAACAAGCUGCCAUGAAUCCUGCAGCUACAAGGAAAUGAACUCUAUUAACUUGAGUGAGCUUAAAACUAGAUCCUUCCCCAGUCAAGCCUCCAGGUGAGAAUUCAAUCCUGGCUGGCACCUGGAUUGCAGCUUACAGAAGACCCAGCUAAGGCCAUGUCUGGACUUUAAAUCCACAGGAACUGCAAGAUGGUAUCAGAAGUGGGACCUGCAGUGGGGCAUCUAGCAACCCCCAGGAGCAUUGAGUGACCAGGCUUGGGACCCACCGGGCGCAGGGUGUCCAUUGUUCUCUCGAAGCAACUGAGAAUUGUGGAUAUUCUUCAUUAUUCCAUCAUCAUCUCAAACCUCUUGGGUAUAGUGUUUGACUACUACUGUGACCAUAAAUUCCAAUAAAACCUAGGAAAAAUGAAACCACUACAUUAACUGAAAGGAUGAAAGAAGCUUUCGUAUUUAUGUGCUGCAUGUAUUAUUCAGAAGGAAGAUGAUUCCAAGUCAUGUUAUUUCCAAGGAAGCAACAAUAACUUCACUGGACCCCUGCUGAUCUUAAAGUGCAGCAUGAAAAACAGUCUUGGAGACUUCUAGAGAUGUCCAAAGUAUGCCUACGGGGAGCAAUAGGGAUACCAGGAGAAUCUGAUGAACUAUGCCUGACAAAGGAGAGGCUCUGCUGAAUAUGGAAGGGUGUAAACAGUAGAACGAACCUGGACCAUUGAACCCCUGAAUUAUCCAACCAUCUUACUUCUGGACUUCUUAUUUUGUGACUAAAAAUUCCUUUUGAAAUGAGAGUUAUUUGUGAUUGAGAUCUGGUUUACUUAAGAGCCAAAAAACAGAUGUAUUUGCAUUUUGCCAUCAUUGGAAAUAUGCCCUUACCCAGAAUUCAUUCCAAAGUAAAGUCAGAGCAUAAGGAAAAUAGAAGUUCUCGGUGAUGCUGGCAGAGUGAAUAGAUUACAUCCAUGUUAUUAUGAGAGUCUGAAUCUGAACAUUGAAUCUGACCCUUCUGAGAGGACACUACACCACUAGAGGGAAUCAAACAGAAGAUACAAAAUUUCUGCUCUCAGUUCUACAGAAGAGGAGAAAGAGAAGGGAUUGGUCUUACUGUCUCAGCAGUGGCAGAGGGAGAAGAAAAAAGUCCAUACAUAAGUGGAUCUGCACAUUUCAAACUCAGGAGUGGAAACCCUAACUGCUGUUAGGGGGUGUUGAACAAUGACUCUUCUAAAUACUUCCUGCUGGAGAGGGGCGUUGUGUGGAGAACAGCAACUAGGUUUCCUCCUGGGGUCAAUCUAAGGGUCCUCAGAAGAACGACAUAUCCAUGUGUGCUUCCAUUUGCAGCACCAUUUGGACUUUAAUAGCUUCUAGGUAAGAGGAAACAAUUCAAGUUAUUGUAUUGAGUAUACAAGGUCCAAAUAUUAGUAGAAAACACAUGAGCAAAAGGGGGACUAAUAAAGGAGCUAACCAGUACUGUAAAGAAGACCGGAAUCCAUUAAGGAGGGAUUGUAGCCACCUGGGGCUAGAGGCAUGGUGCCUCACGCCUGUAAUCCCAGA
rnacentral:lncRNA from 1 species